AUUGAACGCUGGCGGAAUGCUUUACACAUGCAAGUCGAACGGUAGAGGGGGCAACCCCUCGAGAGUGGCGAACGGGUGAGUAAUAUAUCGGAACGUACCCAGUCGUGGGGGAUAACGUAGCGAAAGUUACGCUAAUACCGCAUACGAUCUAAGGAUGAAAGCGGGGGAUCGCAAGACCUCGCGCGAUUGGAGCGGCGGAUAUCAGAUUAGGUAGUUGGUGGGGUAACGGCUCACCAAGCCAACGAGCGGUAGCUGGUCUGAGAGGACGACCAGCCACACUGGAACUGAGACACGGUCCAGACUCCUACGGGAGGCAGCAGUUGGGAAUUUUGGACAAUGGACGCAAGUCUUAUCCAGCCAUUCCUCGUGCAGGAUGAAGGCCCUCGGGUUGUAAACUGCGUUUGUACUGAACGAAAAGGUCUCUCUUAAUACGGGGGGCUCAUGACGGUACCGUAAGAAUAAGCACCGGCUAACUACGUGCCAGCCGCCGCCGUAA
rnacentral:rRNA from 1 species